rnacentral:rRNA from 1 species
AUUGAACGCUGGCGGCAUGCUUUACACAUGCAAGUCGAACGGUAACAGGCCGCAAGGUGCUGACGAGUGGCGAACGGGUGAGUAAUGCAUCGGAACGUGCCCAGUCGUGGGGGAUAACUACUCGAAAGAGUAGCUAAUACCGCAUACGAUCUAUGGAUGAAAGCGGGGGACCGUAAGGCCUCGCGCGAUUGGAGCGGCCGAUGUCAGAUUAGGUAGUUGGUGGGGUAAAGGCUCACCAAGCCAACGAUCUGUAGCUGGUCUGAGAGGACGACCAGCCACACUGGGACUGAGACACGGCCCAGACUCCUACGGGAGGCAGCAGUGGGGAAGUUUGGACAAUGGGCGCAAGCCUGAUCCAGCAAUGCCGCGUGCAGGAAGAAGGCCUUCGGGUUGUAAACUGCUUUUGUACGGAACGAAACGGCUCUGGUUAAUACCCGGGGCUAAUGACGGUACCGUAAGAAUAAGCACCGGCUAACUACGUG